ensembl:lncRNA
AUAAAAUCAAACAAGAUGUACGCAUGCGUGGUAAUAGUGGCGCGUGCACAGGGGGCGUGCACGUGGACCUUAUAAGACCCUCAGUCACUUCCGCUCGCUCUCUCUUUCAUUCCGGCUCUGUGGAGGACAGGCUGGCAUGCAGAAGCUAGUGAGGAUGGCAGCGUUGUGAAGGUGAACGCGGACAGUUGAAAGGAGCAGGACGGGUAAAUCAGGACAGGUACAUGCUGAUGGAACACUCAGGUAGACUUUUGCACAGGAACCUUCUGGUGUGUUAGAAUAAUUCUAGUAAACUGUGUACUGACUGUGCACUAAAUCCCUACAAUACUACAUGUUCCUUUUAUUCUGAUGUUAAAGUGCUGAAAUAAGUGUGUCCUACAAUAAAGUGAUGAAAUGUGUGAAGUUGUAUCGUCGUUCUUGCUGACUUCUCCUUAUUUACACAUCAUACUGUUGACUAUAUGAACUGUUGGAAUUUAAGUGAAUUUUUAAAUAUAUAUAUAUAUAUAAAAAAUUUGCAUUAUCCACACGGGUAAGCUGAGUUUUAGAGUAAACUCUGGUGACUUUAAGUAACACAUUGGGAGUUAAGAGCGGAGUACUGGAGCCAAGGAGAGUUUUUACAUUCUCAAACACACUGGCAGACAGGAGACCAAACUGGUCAGUGCACCCCGGCUUUGAGGUUGAUGGGCUGAUGCCCAGUUAUAUUAAUAUUCAGUUGGUGCAGGAUCACCACAAAUGUUUGAGGUGAGCAAUUUGAGCUUCAGAAUAUCAAAAAUGGUCAAAACUUGAUAACGCCCCAAUGAUGGGAUUUGCUGCACAACAAUCCAUUACAUUAGUCAAUGGGUACUGGUACUGGCUACAAGCUGGAUGAAGUAAUCAGGUGUAGAUUUUAUAGGGUUCAAUUUACUACUAUUAGGAUCUGAUAUAACUAGCUAACAAUCUUUCAUUAAAAAAAUAGCUUGUAAGUUUUUGUCAAGUCUAGUGACCUGUCUGAUCAUGGCCACAUUUUUAAAAACAAAAAAAAAAAACCUCCCAACCUUGUAGAAUGACUUGCAGAGGGCUGGGCACAUGAGAUCCCAUGGCUAUUUGAUAGAUCUGCAAGAAUUGCAAGGAAUAGUAGAAUAAAAUUGCCAAAACAAGACAUGCAAAGUUUGUGAACUCUUAUCUGAAACUAAAACCUUUCUCUUUGUUUUUCACUGGAAGUUUGUUGGGUGCUUUAUGACAUUAAAGAUGGAUAAAUUAAAAAAAAAUAAAUUUUUACAAGGGUGUGUAGACUUUUUAUAUAUGAAAUGACACUUUUUCCAGUCAGAUCUUUUACAGACAGCACACGGCAGUGGGACAGAGCUAAGGAAGUAGACUUGAUGUUCACUCUGAGAUUUACUCUUUGGUCAGUUGGACUUCCAGUGACUUUCCCAAACAAAAAGUUUUGGUUGAAGUUUCCCGAUGACAGAUUUUCUAUUACAGUUGGACAGGACACAGGGGCAGAGGAAGGUCUGGUGGAAAGAAGAACAUAUCCACCCUGUAAUAGUUCUCCUGUAGAUUAGGGUUAUUCUGAUACAUCACCGGUUGUUCAGACAAAGAGAUACUGCUCUAAGACACUUCAAUUAAAUAAACUUAAAGUGACAUUUGUAACCUUACAGGCAUCACCGCAGUACUGACACUGACAUUUACAAUCAACUAAAUUCAACACGAGUUUUCUCUCGUUGUUUUAUAAGAUACUGGAUUGUAAGAAUGUACUCUUCUGGAAUACGUUCAUAUGCACAUAUAACGGCCAUUUAAUCUCACAUACACACACAUACACGUACACAUAUACACACAACCUGGUUUCACAGUUUACUCUCCAAACAAUUCUAUGGAUCCAUUCUUCCAGUAAGUUCUCUGAUCAUAUAAACACUUCACUGUUUUUUGUUCUCUUUACUGACUGUUUUUUUUUUUUUUUUAAACUUCUAUUUAUUGUCCACGCUCUUAAUUAGACCCUCAAUCAGGUCUGAAUUUUUGUCCUUUUUGUUACUGACUGUCGCACUCCAGCCCUCAUGCUCCAUGUUCCAGG